AUACACUCAGACACUCCCACACACAAUCCUCCCCUUUGCCUGUGAUACAAUUACCUUACACAAUAUGUAAUGUAAUUAUCACAAGCAGAGAAAUAAAAUUUUUCCACAUUAUUCAUAACUUGAAAAGAAUGCAUCACAUUCACAUAAAACUUACUUUCAGAAUCAGCAUACUCCAAAUACAAACAUACGUCAAAAUCAUACAAA